rnacentral:rRNA from 1 species
GACGAACGCUGGCGGCGUGCUUAACACAUGCAAGUCGAACGGAAAGGCCCUGCUUUUGUGGGGUGCUCGAGUGGCGAACGGGUGAGUAACACGUGAGUAACCUGCCCUUGACUUUGGGAUAACUUCAGGAAACUGGGGCUAAUACCGGAUAGGAGCUCCUGCUGCAUGGUGGGGGUUGGAAAGUUUCGGCGGUUGGGGAUGGACUCGCGGCUUAUCAGCUUGUUGGUGGGGUAGUGGCUUACCAAGGCUUUGACGGGUAGCCGGCCUGAGAGGGUGACCGGCCACAUUGGGACUGAGAUGCGGCCCAGACUCGUACGGGAGGCAGCAGUGGGGAAUAUUGCACAAUGGGCGGAAGCCUGAUGCAGCAACGCCGCGUGCGGGAUGACGGCCUUCGGGUUGUAAACCGCGUUCGCCUGUGACGAAGCGUGAGUGACGGUAAUGGGUAAAGAAGCACCGGCUAACUACGUG